UACAGAGGUCUCAAGCGUUGUUCGGAAUUACUGGGCGUAAAGGGUGCGUAGGCUGCACGGUAAGUCAGAGGUGAAAUCCCGGAGCUCAACUUCGGAAUUGCCUCCGAUACUGCCGUGCUUGAGGACUGGAGAGGAGUCUGGAAUUCACAGUGGAGCAGUGAAAUGCGUAGAUACCGAGAGGAACACCAAAAGCGAAAGCAUGAUGCUAGAACACUUCUGACACUCAGGGACGAAAGCGUGGGGAGCGGAUCGG
rnacentral:misc_RNA from 1 species